UACAUGGGGUGCAAACGUUGCUCGGAAUUAUUGGGCGUAAAGCGCACGUAGGCGGUUCGUUAAGUCGGAUGUGAAAGCCCUCGGCUCAACUGAGGAAGUGCACCCGAAACUGGCGAGCUUGAGUACGAAAGAGGAUCGCGGAAUUCCUGGUGUAGCGGUGGAAUGCGCAGAUAUCAGGAGGAACACCAAUAGCGAAGGCAGCUCGCUGGGACGUUACUGACACUGGAGGCGCGGAAAGCGUGGGGAGCGAACAGG
rnacentral:rRNA from 1 species